CAGUAACGGCGAGUGAAGCGGCAACAGCUCAAAUUUGAAAUCUGGCUCCUUCGGGGUCCGAAUUGUAAUUUGUAGAGAGUGCUUCGGGCGAGACCUCGGUCUAAGUCCAUUGGAACAUGGUGUCAUAGAGGGUGAGAAUCCCGUAUGCGACCGUGGCUCGAGCCCAUGUGAAGCCUCUUCGACGAGUCGAGUUGUUUGGGAAUGCAGCUCAAAAUGGGUGGUAAAUUUCAUCUAAAGCUAAAUACUGGCUGGAGACCGAUAGCGCACAAGUAGAGUGAUCGAAAGAUGAAAAGCACUUUGGAAAGAGAGUCAAACAGUACGUGAAAUUGUUGAAAGGGAAGCGCUUGCAACCAGACCUGCCCGUAGGCGAUCAGCCGCUGUUCUCAGCGGUGUACUCGCUCUGCGAUCAGGCCAGCAUCGGUUUCGGCGGUCGGAUAAAGGCCUUGGGAAUGUAGCUUCCCUUCGGGGGAGUCUUAUAGCCCUCGGUGUAAUGCGGCCAGCUGGGACCGAGGACCGCGCUUCGGCUAGGAUGCUGGCGUAAUGGUUGUAAGCGACCCGUCUUGAAACACGGACCAAGGAGUCUAACAUCUAUGCGAGUGUUUGGGUGUCAAACCCAUACGCGGAAUGAAAGUGAACGGAGGUGAGAACCCUUAAGGCGCAUCAUCGACCGAUCCAGAUGUCUUCGGAUGGAUUUGAGUAUGAGCAUAGCUGUUGGGACCCGAAAGAUGGUGAACUAUGCCUGAAUAGGGUGAAGCCAGAGGAAACUCUUGUGGAGGCUCGCAGCGGUUCUGACGUGCAAAUCGAUCGUCAAAUUUGGGUAUAGGGGCGAAAGACUAAUC
rnacentral:rRNA from 1 species